ACCGGUGGUUAUUCCGGAGAGGCUACACCCGUUCCCAUUCCGAACACGGCAGUUAAGGGCUCCAGGGCCGAUGGUACUGACACCCAAUCCGGUGUCGGCAGAGUAGGUCGCUGCCGGUC
rnacentral:rRNA from 3 species